UACGUAGGGUGCAAGCGUUGUCCGGAAUUAUUGGGCGUAAAGAGCUCGUAGGCGGUUUGUCGCGUCUGCUGUGAAAACGCGGGGCUCAACUCCGCGCCUGCAGUGGGUACGGGCAGACUAGAGUGCAGUAGGGGGGGACUGGAAUUCCUGGUGUAGCGGUGGAAUGCGCAGAUAUCAGGAGGAACACCGGUGGCGAAGGCGGGUCUCUGGGCUGUAACUGACGCUGAGGAGCGAAAGCGUGGGUAGCGAACAGG
rnacentral:rRNA from 1 species